rnacentral:lncRNA from 1 species
AAUCAUGGUGAGUGUUGGUACUGAGGAGGCCUAGCAGGGUGAAGGCCACGGUCGCGGCCUUCACGGGUUCCUCGGCCGUCCUGAGUCCCAAAUCCCAAGCUGGAGCCGUUCAGCUCCCCUCCACCGCUUAGAGAUUUGGGGGGCUCUGGCCCCGUCCUUGCGGACCAUUCCGAGGGGAGUCCAGAGGUGAGGCCGAGGAACCUCCCUGACUUUGCGGGGCGCGCCGCUCCUGCGUCUCCUGCCAGUCUCCCUUCCUUCUUUUCGGUCAACAAUUGAAAACAAAACGAGGAACAGCAGAGGAGCUACUGUAUACCGAGCCCUCAGCAUUGUUCGUAAUCUCCGCCUGCUAACAGCCUUGUGAAGAAGGUGCUAUUCUUCUCAACACUUUACAGAUGAGGACACUUGAGGUUCGGAGACGUGGAGCCUCUUGCACAGCUGCUUAAGUGACUUCGGGGACCUGGUUUUUAGAGAGUCUAGAAUCUGAUGAGAGAACCUGUGCUUACUUGGGCUUGUGCUGGAAAAGAUGAAAUGGGGAAAAUGGUGUCAGUAAUUAACACUGUGGAUACC